GCGUCGAAAGGAGCCAGUUGAGGUGGUUUGGGCAUCUGAUAAGGAUGCCCCCUGGGCGCCUCCCUAGGGAGGUGUUCCAGGCACGUCCAGCUGGGAGGAGGCCUCGGGGAAGACCCAGGACUAGGUGGAGGGAUGAUAUCUCCAACCUGGCCUGGGAACGCCUCGGGAUCCCCCAGUCGGAGCUGGUUAAUGUGGCUUGGUAAAAAGGGACAUUUGGGAUCCCCUACUGGAGCUGCUUCCCCCCGUGACCCGACCCCGGAUAAGCGGACGAAGAUGGAUGGAUGGAUGAAUAGAUGGAGAGGUAGAUGUCAUUUUUCA